UACAGGGGGGGCAAGCGUUGUUCGGAAUUACUGGGCGUAAAGGGCUCGUAGGUGGCCAACUAAGUCAGACGUGAAAUCCCCAGGCUUAACCUGGGAACUGCGUCUGAUACUGGAUGGCUUGAAUUCGGGAGAGGGAUGCAGAAUUCCAGGUGUAGCGGUGAAAUGCGUAGAUAUCUGGAGGAAUACCGGUGGCGAAGGCGGCAUCCUGGACCGAGAUUGACACUGAUGAGCGAAAGCCAGGGGAGCAAACGGG
rnacentral:rRNA from 1 species